rnacentral:rRNA from 1 species
UACGGAGGGUGCAAGCGUUGUCCGGAUUUAUUGGGUUUAAAGGGUGCGUAGGCGGCCCUGUAAGUCAGUGGUGAAAUACUGCAGCUUAACUGUAGCAUUGCCAUUGAUACUGUAGGGCUUGAGUACAGAUGAGGUAGGCGGAAUUGAUGGUGUAGCGGUGAAAUGCAUAGAUACCAUCAAGAACACCGAUUGCGAAGGCAGCUUACUAAGCUGUAACUGACGCUGAGGCACGAAAGCGUGGGGAUCGAACAG